AAGCUCUCGGUUGGUGCUCGGUGACGAUGUGCAGCGGGUGCGGUGCUCCACCUCCCGGCAGCCGCUCUGAUGUGCAAGGGAAGAGCUCCAGCUGCGGUUUGGCCUGGUGAGAUGCUGCAUGGCAACGUUUCCUUCCUUGUAAAAUAAUUGCUGAGUUCCACCACGUCCAACAGAGUGAAAUUCCGGGGUCAGGUGCAGCUGAAAUCUCAGUGCUGUGCACUCUCUGACGGAGAGAGCGUGGAUACGAAAGCUGCAUGUGGGAUUUGGCUGCUGUGUAUCACUGCCCCGUGGAACAGCCCACCCAACCCUUCCUGUUUGCUCACUGUUUUCAUAUACCUUCGCCCUCUUCUUAUCUACAUGAGCCAACCCUGAACUGCUUCCCUCUUUGCUGCACGUUUGUGUUCUGGCAGAUCAGGAUGGUUUUGUGGCACUUGCACACACUUGUGCCAGCACCAGACACCAGGGCAGAGCUGCAGGCAGGGGCAGCAGGAGAAGGAACUGCCUGUUUCCAUUGCAAGUGCUGGGUGAAAGUUCUACUCCAAGUUGCAUUCAUAGAAUCAUAGAGUGGGUUAGACUGAAAGCCCCGGACUUCCUGACUGACCCACUAUGAACCACUGCUGCUCUGCACACAUUAUUUCCUCUCUUUGAAAGAAAAAAAAGAAAGAAAGCACAGAAGAACUUACCCACAAUCUGGCAGCGCC
rnacentral:lncRNA from 1 species